GAUGAACGCUGGCGGCGUGCCUAAUACAUGCAAGUCGAGCGAACAGACGAGGAGCUUGCUCCUCUGAUGUUAGCGGCGGACGGGUGAGUAACACGUGGAUAACCUACCUAUAAGACUGGGAUAACUUCGGGAAACCGGAGCUAAUACCGGAUAACAUGUUGAACCGCAUGGUUCAACAGUGAAAGACGGUCUUGCUGUCACUUAUAGAUGGAUCCGCGCCGCAUUAGCUAGUUGGUAAGGUAACGGCUUACCAAGGCAACGAUGCGUAGCCGACCUGAGAGGGUGAUCGGCCACACUGGAACUGAGACACGGUCCAGACUCCUACGGGAGGCAGCAGUAGGGAAUCUUCCGCAAUGGGCGAAAGCCUGACGGAGCAACGCCGCGUGAGUGAAGAAGGUCUUCGGAUCGUAAAACUCUGUUAUUAGGGAAGAACAAAUGUGUAAGUAACUAUCCACGUCUUGACGGUACCUAAUCAGAAAGCCACGGCUAACUACGUG
rnacentral:rRNA from 1 species